UCUCUCUAUAUAUAUAUAUAUAUAGACCUUCGUAUAUGCAAGUGCUGGCUUUGAUGGCAGCACCACCAGUGAAGCCUCAGCCUCUGCAUAACUUCCCGCUGUCUCUAAAAUGGGGACAGACAACCGUGCUUUCUGCCCCGACCAACCACCACCAUCGGAGUAGCAGUAGCGGCCGUCUCACGUCCGCGCUUGCACCCGACUCUGAGACCGAAUCUGACCCGGAACUAACGACAAUCCGGCAUCCUCCCCGUGUCGGAUCGCGCUCUGCUCGCGUCCACCGCUUCUCCUUUACCUCUUGCUCCUCCUCCCUUAUCCCAAAACUAAAAAAUUCAUCGACGGAAAAUCUGCAGAAACAAACAACGGUUUUGGAAGUCGCUGAAAAGACACAGAAGCAAGUCACGGUUUUGGAAAACAACGGAGCGGACGCUGAAGACG
rnacentral:misc_RNA from 1 species